rnacentral:rRNA from 1 species
UACGUAGGGGGCAAGCGUUGUCCGGCUUUAUUGGGCGUAAAGAGCUCGUAGGCGGUUUGGUAAGUCGGAUGUGAAAUUUCCAGGCUCAACCUGGAGGGGUCAUUCGAUACUGCCAUGACUAGAGUUCGGUAGGGGAGUGUGGAAUUCCUGGUGGAGCGGUGAAAUGCGCAGAGAUCAGGAGGAACACCCGUAGCGAAGGCGGCACUCUGGGCCGAUACUGACGCUGAGGAGCGAAAGCGUGGGGAGCGAACAGG